rnacentral:lncRNA from 1 species
ACUGUGGAACAAAAACAAACACGAAAAAUAAACGUUGGAACAUGCGAUGGAAGGUCAAAACGAAAAUUGACAUACAUUCCGAAAUUCCCCGAUGGAACACGGAAAGUUGUAUUUAUCAACAACGACUUACAGAUACUAUCUAAAAAGUCACUAGAAAAUAUAUCAUUACCGAGUUCUCAUGUUACUGACUUGAACUUAAAGUACAACAAUAUAACAUUCAUUCACAACAAC